rnacentral:rRNA from 1 species
CGGACGGGUGAGUAAUGUCUGGGAAACUGCCCGAUGGAGGGGGAUAACUGCUGGAAACGGUAGCUAAUACCGCAUAACGUCGCAAGACCAAAGAGGGGGACCUUAGGGCCUCUUGCCAUCGGAUGUGCCCAGAUGGGAUUAGCUAGUAGGUGGGGUAACGGCUCACCUAGGCGACGAUCCCUAGCUGGUCUGAGAGGAUGACCAGCCACACUGGAACUGAGACACGGUCCAG